rnacentral:rRNA from 1 species
CUACCGGGGUAUCUAAUCCUGUUUGAUACCCACGCUUUCGUGCUUCAGUGUCAGUUAUACCUUAGUAAGCUGCCUUCGCAAUCGGAGUUCUGCGUGAUCUCUAUGCAUUUCACCGCUACACCACGCAUUCCGCCUACUUCAUCUAUACUCAAGACUACCAGUUUCAACGGCAAUUUUAUCGUUAAGCGACAAACUUUCACCGCGGACUUAACAGCCCACCUACGCACCCUUUAAACCCAAUAAAUCCGGAUAACGCUCGCAUCCUCCGUAUUACCGCGGCUGCUGGCAC